rnacentral:rRNA from 1 species
CCUACGGGAGGCAGCAGUGGGGAAUAUUGGGCAAUGGGCGCAAGCCUGACCCAGCAACGCCGCGUGAAGGAAGAAGGCCCUCGGGUUGUAAACUUCUUUUAUUCGGGACGAAACAAAUGACGGUACCGAAAGAAUAAGCCAUGGCUAACUACGUGCCAGCAGCCGCGGUAAUUCGUAGGUGGGAAGCGUUAUACGGAUGUACUGGGUGUAAAGGGCGUGUAGGCGGGAGAGCAAGUCAGACGUGAAAUUCCAGGGCUCAACCCUGGAACUGCGUUUGAAACUGUUCUUCUUGAGUGAUGGAGAGGCAGGCGGAAUUCCGUGUGUAGCGGUGAAAUGCGUAGAUAUACGGAGGAACACCAGUGGCGAAGGCGGCCUGCUGGACAUUAACUGACGCUGAGGCGCGAAAGCGUGGGGAGCAAACAGGAUUAGAUACCCCAGUAGUC